CUUUCUCUCUUAUAUUUCUCUCUCUAGCCUUUCUCUCUCUUAUUUGUCAUGUUUGAUCUUUUUCUCUCUUCUCAAGUCUCUUUGCUCUCUCUAAAGGGUGGUUAACUCUAAAGUCUCUCGCAACCCAUGAUGUUCUUAAUACAGGUGCCCUAGCAUCGCUGUCAAGUAGUGCACUAGCUUCCACCCUGACUCUUGUGAGAUCAUAUUAAAUUUGAUCAUCCUCGAUUGUGGUGUCUGACUUAUAUCCUACUUCAAUCUUCAAUGGUAUAAUAUCAGAUUUGAUUGAUUUAGGAAUGUUGGGCUUUAUCAUUUGACUGGCCUAUCCUUAAUCUAUCUUGAUUCAGCAUGAAACCACCUCUUGUCGUACCC
rnacentral:lncRNA from 1 species